UACAGAGGUCCCGAGCGUUGUUCGGAUUCACUGGGCGUAAAGGGUGCGUAGGUGGCAUUGUAAGUUUGAUGUGAAAGCUCAGGGCUUAACCCUGAAAUGGCAUUGAAUACUGCGGUGCUGGAGGUUUGGAGGGGGGACUGGAAUUCUUGGUGUAGCAGUGAAAUGCGUAGAUAUCAAGAAGAACACCAGUGGCGAAGGCGAGUCCCUGGACAACACCUGACACUGAGGCACGAAAGCCGGGGGAGCAAACAGG
rnacentral:rRNA from 1 species